CCUACGGGUGGCUGCAGUGGGGAAUUUUGGACAAUGGGCGAAAGCCUGAUCCAGCCAUGCCGCGUGAGUGAAGAAGGCCUUCGGGUUGUAAAGCUCUUUCGCAAGGAAAGAAAACUUAGCUACUAAUACUAGUUGAGGAUGACGGUACCUUGAUAAGAAGCACCGGCUAACUACGUGCCAGCAGCCGCGGUAAUACGUAGGGUGCGAGCGUUAAUCGGAAUUACUGGAGGGGAUGCGUUCGCACGCGGUUGGAAUCCCCGGGCUCAACCUGGGAACUGCGUUUGAAACUACAAGGCUAGAGUGUAGAAGAGGGGGGUAGAAUUCCACGUGUAGCAGUGAAAUGCGUAGAGAUGUGGAGGAAUACCGAUGGCGAAGGCAGCCCCCUGGGCUAACACUGACGCUCAUGCACGAAAGCGUGGGGAGCAAACAGGAUUAGAUACCCCAGUAGUC
rnacentral:rRNA from 1 species